AUCCAGCUGACGAGUCCCAAAUAGGAUGAAAGGUGCGUCAAACUGGAU
rfam:Schistosoma mansoni strain Puerto Rico chromosome 5, complete genome